UGACGUUGACCUUUUCGGAAAUGCUCGGAUUACAUCCGAUCGCUCUGAAAUUUCGGCUGUAGCAUGUAAACAUUCUAAGCCAAUCACAUGGCGAGUUUUAGCUCCGAACUAUCAAACGUGACCUCGGGAGCCCGAUCCGAAAAUUAUUUGCGUACGAUUUCAGUCUGCGAUAAUGGCGUCCGAUGCGAAACGCUAGAGAUACAGCGUAGCUAAGCCUUUAGAGGUGAUUUUUGACGAUGGAAGUGAGCAUGGUGGUAUCUCUAGUGGUGAGGAAUCCGAAUUAGAUAGAAAACUGGAAAAUCUUAGCGAAGAAUCGAGGCAAAAUUUCAGAAGUCAAACAAAGAAAUAUAGUUCCAAUGGUUGCACUGUAGACUUCAAGAGGGAUUAGUAAAUUUGGGCUUGGGGUGAUGAUGAGCCAGAGUCUCUGGAUGUCUUGCCCAUAAGAUAAGGAAUAUUUUAUCUAAGAAAUGUUUCCUUUUUUACUCCAAUCCAUUCAGGCUCAGGCUGUUUCAAAGUCAAAAGUUGUACAAUAAUUUAUGCAAAUUGUAUGCCAUUUUCUUAGCAUGAUUUAAAAUCCAUGGAUUUUUGGAGGCUAAAUAUAUUUUUUCUGAAAAGCUAAUUUUGUCCUCUUUCAAAUGAGAUAUAGCACUAAUCACUAGUGUAAAUACUGUUGACAAAAAAAAUAAAAGAAAAAAGGUUACCAUCAUUUGUCAUUUUUUUC